rnacentral:rRNA from 1 species
GCAAGUCGAACGGAGCACCCUUGAUUGAGGUUUCGGCCAAAUGAUAGGAAUGCUUAGUGGCGGACUGGUGAGUAACGCGUGAGGAACCUGCCUUUCAGAGGGGGACAACAGUUGGAAACGACUGCUAAUACCGCAUGACGCAUUUUGAUCGCAUGGUCGAAAUGCCAAAGAUUUAUCGCUGAAAGAUGGCCUCGCGUCUGAUUAGAUAGUUGGCGGGGUAACGGCCCACCAAGUCGACGAUCAGUAGCCGGACUGAGAGGUUGACCGGCCACAUUGGGACUGAGAUACGGCCCAGACUCCUACGGGAGGCAGCAGUGGGGAAUAUUGGGCAAUGGGCGCAAGCCUGACCCAGCAACGCCGCGUGAAGGAAGAAGGCUUUCGGGUUGUAAACUUCUUUUAAGUGGGAAGAGCAGAAGACGGUACCACUUGAAUAAGCCACGGCUAACUACGUGCCAGCAGCCGCGGUAAUACGUAGGUGGCAAGCGUUGUCCGGAUUUACUGGGUGUAAAGGGCGUGCAGCCGGGCAUGCAAGUCAGAUGUGAAAUCUCAGGGCUUAACCCUGAAACUGCAUUUGAAACUGUAUGUCUUGAGUGCCGGAGAGGUAAUCGGAAUUCCUUGUGUAGCGGUGAAAUGCGUAGAUAUAAGGAAGAACACCAGUGGCGAAGGCGGAUUACUGGACGGUAACUGACGGUGAGGCGCGAAAGCGUGGGGAGCGAACAGGAUUAGAUACCCUGGUAGUCC